rnacentral:rRNA from 1 species
AUGGCGAUCGGUCACCUCCGUGCCUUCCUGGUUUUCCUCCUCGUGCAGGUCUGGCUGUUCUUGAUGAUGGUUGCGUCGGCGAAGGUGCAGGGAAGGCCUGUGGGCGUGGCGUCGGUUCCCGCAUGCUGCACCUACCACGUCGAGUGCUGCCAACGUCUGACGGCGGAAGCCCCGAUCGCCGCCACCGCUCUUCCCUGA